CCAUCUGGAAGAAUCUGGAGACAGGUGCUGCAUGGCUGUCGUCAGCUCGUGUCGUGAGAUGUUGGGUUAAGUCCCGCAACGAGCGCAACCCUUGUCCUAGUUACCAGCACGUUAAGGUGGGGACUCUCAGUGGACUGCCGGCGACAAGCCGGAGGAGGGUGGGGACGACGUCAAGUCAUCAUGGCCCUCAUGUCCAGGGCGACACACGUGCUACAAUGGCCGGCACAACGGGAAGCGACGGCGCGAGUCGUAGCGGAUCCCUCAAAGCCGGUCCCAGUUCGGAUUGCAGUCUGCAACUCGACUGCAUGAAGCCGGAAUCGCUAGUAAUCGUGGAUCAGCCAAGCCGCGGUGAAUACGUUCCCGGGCCUU
rnacentral:rRNA from 1 species